rnacentral:pre_miRNA from 1 species
UGGCUAUCUCGAUGGUCCCCUGAACUACAGUUGCAACAAAACAAGUGUUCAGGAGAUCAUCGAGGUAGCCA